GUGGGUAUAGCUCAGUGGUAGAGUGUACGCUUAGCAAGCAUGAGGUCCUGGGUUCGAUCCCCAAUACCUCCA
rnacentral:tRNA from 1 species